ensembl:lncRNA
CCUCAGGAGUCACCUUGAAGAGACACAGUGCGAUUCAUCUGAGACAGGCUGUGAGCUUCUAUAAGGAAAAGCCAUAGUCAGCAUUCCCCAGGUGUCCCUGACAUCCUCAUGGCCUUCAGAAGGGUAGUUGGAGGUGGCGCUCAUUGGUGGUUCUGCUGAGCAGAGUGGGUGUGUGUCUUACUAUGUAGUCAGGCUGGCCUUGGACCUCCUAUGUAGCCCAGAUGACCUUGAAUUCAUGAUCCUCCAUCUUCAGCCUCCUGAAUGCUGAGAUUAUAGGUAUGUACCACCAUGGCCAGUUUUACAUGUCUGUAAUUUUUAGGUCAUGAGGUAGCAAGCAGGUGCUGUUUUGUUCCUUGUCCAGUCAUGUGAUCCCAAGCCUGCAGCAUGUGACUCCACAGAGCCAAUCCUCACCACCCCCGCUCAUCAUUUUUUUUUUUGGUACUGGGGAUUGAACUCGGGUCCUUGUGUUUGCGCAGCAGGCGGCGAAACCACUGAGCUAAAUCCCUGGCCCCACAUUUUUUUAAUAAGCAGCACACAGAUACUCCUUUUAGCACUUACAGUUGAGCUUCUUCCACUUGCAGGCGGAGGGUCAGUCUCAGAAAGAUUUUGUUGAAGACUCAGGUACACGCCAAGAGCUGGCUCUGUGGCUGUAGGGAACCGCCUCCCCCUCUCUCAUUAACAGCCCCCAGACUCAAGCUUUCUGCUCUGUCUGGCACUUAGCGGCUAAGAGUUUAUGCCAGGGGCAGGGAGCUCAAACACAGUAAUGCAUGUUUGCUUUUGAAGAAUAGCAGGAUACAAAAUUCUGCAAAUACAAAAUGAUGGUACAUAUGUACCAGGCUGGAAUGCGAAUCAGAAAGGGGCCAGUCAGUUAGGGGAUGGGCAGUUGAAAAACUUUGUGACAUUUCUGUAUAAUGUUGUUUGUGCAAUGAAUGAGAAAUGGAGACCACGCUAACUUUUACUGAGCAUAUAAAGACUGCCAGGUCAAUAUGAGGUAAUUUUGUACACCCCAUGUUUUAAAUCUCACAUUCCUCCUUUUAACAGAUAAGGACAUUGAGUCAGAGAGGCCAAGAGCCAGGAUCACAUAGUGAGCGAGUGACAGAGCAGGAAAUGCAGUCUAGAUCUGUUUAGUUCCCCACAUGAUCCUCUACAAAUAUUAUUUAAAAUUAAAUGUUCUAGGUAAUAUAGUUAUUAAACAAACAUUUGUAAACUCACCACCUAACCCAAGACAGUGUUUAUUCCUACUUUUGUGCUUUCCAGUUCCUUCCCAACCAGUCCCUUUCCUGAAUUUUGUGUUUAUCCGUUCUGUUUUUAAGAUUUUAGUUCUUGGAAUAACUUUUAUCUUGGGGAUACUAUGCAUACAGAAAAGUGAACAGCAUAAGUGUUUAGCUUGAUGAAUUUUCACAAACUGUACACACAUCCAUGUAACCAACAUUGAGAUCCAGAAAAUAAGAGUGUUAUCAGUAUUUUAAGUAUGUAAACAUUUUUUCACAGGUUUACUAUGUUCCAUUAUUUCUUCUUUGUAAAUAUCUGCUUAUAUCCUUUAUCAUCUUACCUAUUCAGGUGUUGGCACCUUAAAAUCAUCAUGGUCUCUGUGCCUAUUGACUUACAUGAGCUUCUUGCCAUAUGUGUUAAAAAUACCUUUCCAGGGCUGGGGAUUUAGCUCAGUGGCACAGCGCCUGCCUGGCAAACGUGAAGUCCUGAGUUCGAUCCCCAGUACCAACAAACAAAACAAAACAAAAAACAAAAACUAUCUUUCCACUUUUUUAUUCAUUUAAACAUUUUAUUUGAGAAGUAUUUUUUUAACUGUCUCUCUUUCUCCACGCCCUUGGCCUUUUGGUAAGGUCUGUAAAGCACUUCGGCUUAGACUUGGUCAGACUGAGUUCCCAUCUCCCAUGGCCACUCACUCAGUCCACCGAACUUUUUCUGCUUGGCUCGUUUUCUUCCUCUCUCUGGGCUUUCUGCAGCACAGCUGAACAUCUGCAGAGCUACAGUUAGCCAACUUGAAUGAAACUGCAAAAAGAUAAUCAAUAAAGAAUUUAAAUGGGUGCAAAUAUAUAUGUAUCAAGAAGGAAACUUUUUUUCUUUGAAGUAUUGGGGAUUAAACCCAGGCCCUUUGCACUCGGCUACAUCCCCAGUCCUUUCUUUCUUUAUUUAUUUUGAGACAGGGUCUAAGUUGCUAAAUUGCCCAGGCUGUGUUCAAACUUGUGAUUCUCCUUCUUCAGCCUCCCAGAGUACCAAGAUUACAGGCAUGCAUCACCAUGCCCUACAAGAAUAUAUUUCUAUGGGCCAGGGAUUUAGCUCAGUGGUUCCACUACCUGCCUCCAAAGCACAAGGACCUGAGUUCAAUCCCCAGUACCACACACACACACAAAAGAAUCAUAAUAAUACAUUUUAUGACUAGAAAAUGAUACUUAUUCAUGGUAUACAAUUCAAAUAGAAAAAUGUUACCUCCCCCCCCGAUUACAUUUCUUUUUUUUUUUUUUUUUGUACCGGGGAUUGAACCCAGAUUACAUUUCUAACCUAAACAUUGGAUCAUACCAAACCUGAAAUCCAAAAUGCUCCAAAAUCUGAGACUUUGAAUGCUGACAUGGUACCAUGAGUAAUAGAUUCUACACCUGAUCUAAUGUGUGGUUUGGCAGUCAAAACAUAGGCACACUAAAAAGAUUGUGUAAAACUACCAUCAGGCUGUGUGUAUAAGGUGUAUAUGAAACACAAAUAAAUUUUAUGUUUAGGGCCAGGAAUGUAGCUCAGUGGUGCAGCAUUUGCCUGCCAAGUGUGAGGCCCGGAGUUCAAUUCCCAGUACAUCCCCCCCAAAAAAACGCCAAUAAAUUUUAUGUUUAGACUUGGGUCCUAUAUGCAGAUAUUCUAAAAUACUGGGAAUUCCCAAAUCUGAGACACUUCCAGUCCCAAGUAUUUUGGAUAAGGGAUGUUCUUGCUAUACCUGAAGUUCUACCACUAAGACACAACUCCUGUUAACACUUUGGAGAAUAUCCUUACAGAUUGCCUCUCCUCUCCCUCCUGUUCUCAUUCUCCCUGUAUAAAAAUUUACACUGGGGGGGAACCCUUUACAUUAAUAUUCUCUUGGUUUGUAUCAUUCUUUCAUUUGACAAUGUCAUCCAUAUAUUUUCACCCCACACCCCUCUUGGCUGCGUAGGAUUUUGUUGCCUGAAUGUGCCAGAAUGUACUUUGUUGGCCAUGUAGGUUAGAGUGGUAAGCAUGCUAUAUGUUUCUUGGGAUGCUUGCCCUGUUGCUCUGACCUAGACUGAUGGCACUUCUAAUGCGGGAAGGUGGCUUGAGUUCAGCUUAACACCUCUGAACUCAACCAGCUUUGUGGGGUGCUGGGGAUCAAACCCAAUCACACAUGCUAAGUAUACCCUCUGUCACUGAGCUACACCACCAGCUCCUCACAUAGAUUUUUCAUUUUGGGAAGUCUCUGCUCCUUGGCCCCAGGAUUGGGUGGUUGGUCUCAUCUCCUUGAGCUCUUCUGGGAGCCCAUGGUUUACUCCUUCACUCCCUUUCCACUACCACAUGGAACUCUGCACAUAGGGGGUUGAGGUCACAUAAGGUUAAGUUUGAAACAAAAAUAAGACACACAUGCACGUUUUCUAUCUCUUUUUAGUUAUCAACACACUACUUGUAGAUACAGAGUAGAAAGUAAAAGCCAGCAGUCAUUCCACGAGUCAAUGAGAAGCCGUGUUAAGCUUAGGGGCUCACAGGGGCCUGGAACUCUGGCGUGCUUCCGUCACCUGGGACUCUUGUUUACAAUCCAGACGUCCCCUCUCCCUGAGGUUUGGAUUCAGUAGGCCUGCAGUAGGGCCUUGGCACCUGCAUUAUAAUCAACCUUCCCAGGCUACUUGGCUGCUCAAGAUUAACAAAAGAAUGCAGAAGUGUCUUUCCAGACAUUACUUGAUUAAAGAAAGAGCGGAGAGAAAAUGAGAAUGAGAUUGUGCCAUAUAUUCAUUUUUGGGUUUUGUCUAUUUAAAAUUACUCAUUUUUUGUGGUGCUGGGGAUUGACCUCAUGGCUUUGUACACGGUAGGCAAAUGCUCUACUACUGAGCUACACUUGCCCCCCCCAGCCUGGGCUUUAUAAAAAUCAGCAACAGAAUGUGAUCCAAAUACUAUCCAUAUCCUAAAUACAUAUCCUGUCCAUAUCCAAAUACUCCUUUAGACAUUCUAUUGUCUGCAUAAUAGUCCAUUGUGUGGAUGCAUUUCAAUUUACUCAGUCAACACUCUGUUGUUGAACAGUAGUUCUCUUCCCACCAUCAUUGCUGUUACAAAUAAUGCUAUGUAGCUAAAUCUUGUUGUAAAUUCCUUAAUUAUUUCCUUAAGUUAAAUUCCUAAGGAGUAAAUUAUGGGC